ACUAACCGGAUAUGGAUUGGUGCCAACGGGAGCAUUGACCGAGGUGCUGCAUGGCUUUAGUCAGUUCGUGUUAUGAGAUGCCAAUUUAAGUCCCGUAAUAUUGCAAUUCCUGGCCUUAGUUAGGCAGACGUAUUAUGGGCACUCUUGGACCCUGCCGGUGACAAACCGGAGGAAGGUGGGGGGAUGACGUCAAUUCAUCAUGGCCCUUACGGCCUGGGCUACACACGUGCUACAAUUUCCGAAACAGAGGGUUGCCAUUGCGCGAGGUGGAGCUGAUCCCACAAAACCGAUAAUUGUCCGGAUUCCAGAACGCAACUCGACUGGUUGAAGUCGGAAUCGCUAGUAAUUGCGAAUCAGAUAAUUGAUGGUGAAUACGUUGACCCUCCUUGUAGGCCAUCCCGU
rnacentral:rRNA from 1 species